UACGCUGGCGGCACGCCUUAUACAUGCAAGUCGAACGAAGUAGCAAUACUUAGUGGCAGACGGGUGAGUAACAUGUAGGUAUCUUCCCUUUGGUGAGGAAUAACACGAGGAAACUUGUGCUAAUACCUCAUAAGUCUUUACGGAGAAAGCUUUAUGCGCCAAUGGAUGAGCCUGCACUUGAUUAGUUUGUUGGUGGGGUAAUGGCCUACCAAGACUUUGAUCAAUAGCUGAUCUGAGAGGAUGAUCAGCCACAUUGGGACUGAGACACGGCCCAAACUCCUACGGGAGGCAGCAGUAGGGAAUAUUGCACAAUGGAGGAAACUCUGAUGCAGCGAUGCCGCGUGAGUGAAGAAGGCCUUUGGGUUGUAAAGCUCUUUCGUCGGGGAAGAAAAUGACGGUACCCGAAUAAGAAGGUCCGGC
rnacentral:rRNA from 1 species